CAUUACCGAGUUUACAACUCCCAAACCCAAUGUGAACCAUACCAAACUGUUGCCUCGGCGGGGUCACGCCCCGGGUGCGUCGCAGCCCCGGAACCAGGCGCCCGCCGGAGGGACCAACCAAACUCUUUUCUGUAGUCCCCUCGCGGACGUUAUUUCUUACAGCUCUGAGCAAAAAUUCAAAAUGAAUCAAAACUUUCAACAACGGAUCUCUUGGUUCUGGCAUCGAUGAAGAACGCAGCGAAAUGCGAUAAGUAAUGUGAAUUGCAGAAUUCAGUGAAUCAUCGAAUCUUUGAACGCACAUUGCGCCCGCCAGUAUUCUGGCGGGCAUGCCUGUCCGAGCGUCAUUUCAACCCUCGAACCCCUCCGGGGGGUCGGCGUUGGGGACCUCGGGAGCCCCUAAGACGGGAUCCCGGCCCCGAAAUACAGUGGCGGUCUCGCCGCAGCCUCUCCUGCGCAGUAGUUUGCACAACUCGCACCGGGAGCGCGGCGCGUCCACGUCCGUAAAACACCCAACUUCUGAAAUGUUGACCUCGGAUCAGGUAG
rnacentral:misc_RNA from 1 species